rnacentral:lncRNA from 1 species
AAAAUUACAUCUAUGCCCGUGACAUUUACUCUUAAUUAUAAAGCGAGUUGUCAAGGACUAAGUAGUCUUUUCCCUCUUAGGUCGAUUUCGUCCUUCAUCUUUGCUAUCAUAUCAAGCCAAAGCUCCUUUAGCCAUAGUUUCAGCGUCCAUCCAUGUUACCUUCGGGUUGUAUCUUCAUAUCACACACGCCUUUAUCAUGAGAGGUCUUUCAUCCCGAAGUCAAAGUCUCCUGUAACAGUCCAUGCCAUACUGAAAACAUAUGAUUAGUCACGUUUUUGAGGACCUUUGGAAGGAGAAGGCCCCCAACAGUCCCAUUCCACCCUUAUGGUAGCAUGUUUUCCAGGGUGGUCACUCAUGUUCCAAUUAACAUAAUAAUCUUAUCAUGAACGGAAAAUAAUCAUUUGACAAUAAAUAGCAUGAUCAUGAAUAAAAUGUAUCUUAAUACCCAAAACCAUAUAGUGGAAUAGCACAAACUACCCAAAAGUUCAGUUGCAAGCAAGGUAUAAAGUAACUCAAACUAGGGUGACCUAUUGGAUCCCAUCAAAAUUAACCUGAGCAUGCCACAGUGAUUAAUAGUAACAUUAUUGGGUAAAGAAGAGUGACCAAGGGCACAACUUGCCUUGGACUUGAGAUCCCAGGUACUUCACCAAAUUGGUCUUCGGGUUUCUCAUGUCCUUGCUG